GAUGAACGCUGGCGGCGUGCCUAAUACAUGCAAGUCGAGCGAACGGACGAGAAGCUUGCUUUUCUGAUGUUAGCGGCGGACGGGUGAGUAACACGUGGAUAACCUACCUAUAAGACUGGGAUAACUUCGGGAAACCGGAGCUAAUACCGGAUAAUAUUUUGAACCGCAUGGUUCAAAAGUGAAAGACGGUCCUGCUGUCACUUAUAGAUGGAUCCGCGCUGCAUUAGCUAGUUGGUAAGGUAACGGCCUACCAAGGCAACGAUGCAUAGCCGACCUGAGAGGGUGAUCGGCCACACUGGAACUGAGACACGGUCCAGACUCCUACGGGAGGCAGCAGUAGGGAAUCUUCCGCAAUGGGCGAAAGCCUGACGGAGCAACGCCGCGUGAGUGAUGAAGGUCUUCGGAUCGUAAAACUCUGUUAUUAGGGAAGAACAUAUGUGUAAGUAACUGUGCACAUCUUGACGGUACCUAAUCAGAAAGCCACGGCUAACUACGUG
rnacentral:rRNA from 1 species